rnacentral:rRNA from 1 species
UACAGGGGGUGCAAACGUUGCUCGGAAUCAUUGGGCGUAAAGCGCACGUAGGCGGUUCGUUAUGUCGGAUGUGAAGGCCCUUGGCUUAACCGAGGAAGUGCAUCCGAAACUGGCGAGCUAGAGUACGAAAGAGGAUCGCGGAAUUCCCGGUGUAGAGGUGAAAUUCGUAGAUAUCGGGAGGAACACCGGUGGCGAAGGCGGCGAUCUGGGUCGAUACUGACGCUGAGGUGCGAAAGCGUGGGGAGCAAACAGG